CACUUCCUGUUCCUGAAACAAAGCUCCUGAAUUAAAGUCUCCAGGAAAGUCCACUUUAUGAACAGACUGAAGUUCGAUCUCGAAGAUGACGUUGAGCCAAACACCUGCUUUACCCUCGCUGGUCUGAGAUCAGCCCUGAUGAGUGGUCAAGCUGCCAGAGCAGCUGUGAUGGAUGGACUGGAGCUCCUGGCUGUGAACUCACAUUAUCAAUAAGGACCGUGGCCUGGAGACAGUCAAACCCAGUGGAGGGGAGAUGUACGUGACCCCUGACCCCCGACCCCCGACCCCUGACCUCAGAAGACGUUCCAUCCAACGAUCCAGCUCCGUCUUCUACCUUUGGGUCCAGGAGACAGAAGCAGGGUGAGAAGAAAAGAAAAAAAGGUCGGAAACACCUCUGACAUGUCAACGCACUCAGAGCUGAGAGAUUCCCUGUGCUGCUCUGCUGCCACCUAAUGGGUCAGUUUUUCAUCGCAAGACCUUUUCCCGCAAGAGACGUCCAGUCAACAGAGGAUGGAAAGAGAAACUACAGACAGAGGGCGACGUGGAUCCAGAUGAACUCCAACACCGUACACCUCUAGUGACUAAGUCGUCAAACAGGAUGUGGUUCCAGUUUUCCCAGAGGAGAAGGAAGAGGAUCGGAACUGAAGCCACGGUCACGUGACUGAACUGAGAGGUCGACGCCACACUGUGUGACGAGAGGAAGUCCAGCAGUCACCUUCAUCAUCAUCAUCAUCAUGCCUCUACUGCUUCAGGGCGUUCCUCAAAGUUACAGUAUCACUGCUUCCUACAAAUGGGUUGGUGAGUACUCACAUUUAUUCUCUGUAUUUUACAUUACAAAAUGUUAUCUCUGUGUCACAAGACGUAGAAGUCAGUGCACAUUAUUGUUUUCAAUUGUAAUUGUAGUUUACAGUUUUUUGUAAAUCUCUAAAUAUAUAAUAUUCGGAGCAUGUAGGCUGAAACGAUACAUUUGAAGUGGUACAUUCUUUGUUUAGAGAAAAUAUUGCAAUUUAGAAUUUUAGGAACCUUUUUCUUCAAAACAACUAGUAUAAUAUUUGGAUUUUAAUCCAUUCUUUUCAUACUGAAACACUAAAUGUGCUCUUUAGGAAAAGACAAAGUUAAAUUUGUAUCAAAUUGUAAGUUGCUUUGGAUAAAAGCGUCUGCUUAACGACUGUAUUUAUACUGGCCCUACUGACUUAGUGCUGCAAUAGUACAGAAAGAGCACAGUCUUCUGGUAGCUAUGGUUCUGUGCAGUUAACGUAUCUUGUUUCCAAAUUUGUACUGAACUCUAAAAUAACAAUAAUGAAAAUAAUUGUCUGUUUCAAUUGCCUAAUCACAGUGUUAUUAUAUUUUGACUUACGU